rnacentral:lncRNA from 1 species
ACACGUUCCUUAUGGGAUGAACAUACAAGACUACGCCGCUGCUUGGAUAGAGGGCUAGGUUGAUAUGCCUCCUGAUUAUGCUGAUGAUCCGAAUAUCUACGAAAGGCAUCGCCACUCGACCUAAUUUUGCAUAUCAUUAUGUACGUUUGUUGGACUUCAAAAGUAUGUAAUUGAUUGUAUCUUGAUUUGAAGAUAUUUUAUGUUGUUCAUUUUAUGAUU